CUGAUGCAUUUUGAGAAUCGAUCUAUCUGAGCUGAUUGUGUGUGUGUUUUUUUUAUCUACUAUAAAUAGACCUCCAGUUGGUGCUAAAUAUGUGCUGAUGUCAUUUAACAAGACUGAAUGAAGCCGUUUCAGGUGUCACAACAUCAAAAGGAAUCACAUCUGGCUAUCAGCCCCCAGGAGGUCUGCAAGGCUUCGGGUGAGGAGUGCAGCGAUGAUACAGGUCAGGAGAAAGAGAGCACAGGAGGAAAUCCUGCUUCCUAUUCAGGGAAGUUAGGGGAGACCUGACCACUCUGGCCUCAGACUGCAGUGAUGCCCGCUCUGUGCUGCUCACACAAAUAAGGAACCCAGACCAGCAGGGCAGUGGAGGUGACAUAGGCAAUGGAGGAGGCC